rnacentral:rRNA from 1 species
AUCUGCNUAUUAGUGGGGGACAACGUUCGAAAAGGAACGCUAAUACCGCAUACGUCNUACGGGAGAAAGCAGGGGAUCUUCGGACCUUGCGCUAAUAGAUGAGCCUAAGUCGGAUUAGCUAGUUGGUGGGGUAAAGGCCUACCAAGGCGACGAUCUGUAGCGGGUCUGAGAGGAUGAUCCGCCACACUGGNGACUGAGACACGGCCCAGACUCCUACGGGAGGCAGCAGUGGGGAAUAUUGGACAAUGGGGGGAACCCUGAUCCAGCCAUGCCGCGUGUGUGAAGAAGGCCUUUUGGUUGUAAAGCACUUUAAGCGAGGAGGAGGCUUACCUAGUUAAUACCUGGGAUAAGUGGACGUUACUCGCAGAAUAAGCACCGGCUACU